ensembl:lncRNA
CGCGCGCGGCGUCGCUCCGCCCUGGACGUGCGGCGCGAGGGCGGGCGGUGGCGGUUGGGCUCCGCCCUGCGGCCGGGCCUGGAGCUGUGGCCUGUUGGUGUCCCGACGGACGCUGCCGGGGGUUGAGCUGCUAUCUCUUUCUCCGGAGUGCGGCCUGGUGGCUGUGUGAGGCCUUUCUGGUUCUGCCCGGCAGCGGUACCGCGGAGGGAAAGUGCUCAGGGCGGCUUUUGCCUUGUCCUCGGUGGGUGCAGGCUUGGUGCAAUAGUCUGUAGGAGAGCAGCUCAUUGGCAGCGGUGGUGUUUCUCCCAUGGAGCCUUCUCUCAUCCUGCAGCCCCAGAGCUGUGAGGAGGGCAGCCCUGGGCAGUCCUGUGCUCACAGAGCGCCCCUUCCAACAGCAAAAUGCUCCUCUUGAAAGCUGCAUGCACGUUAAGUGUGUGUGCUCCCAUCGUGAGCAUGGAUGAAGUUGUGUGCGUUGGCUGAUGGAUGUAAAAGCAGCUUUGUGAUCUAGAAGGUGAGGUCCAUCUCAGCUGCUGGAAGUCCUUGGUCUGCCAUGGGUGGAAAACCGGGUCCAGUUCUGGGCUCCCCAGUUCCAAAAAGAUGAGGAUCUUCUGGAAAUGGUCCAGUGGAGGGUGACAAAAGAUGAUUAACGACCUGGAGCCUCUGCAGUGAGUCAAGUCAACGGGGACAGACUCUUCCCGCUGGCAUGCAGCAACAGAACAAAGGGCAAUGGGCAGAAACUGGAACACAAGUACUAACACAAAGAAGAACUUCUGUACAGAGUGACAGAGCUGGAAGAAGCCGCCCAAAGAGGUGGAGUGGACCAGUCACCUUCACUGGACGUAUUCAAGACCCAUCUGGAUGCCUCUCUGUGUGACCUACUUUAGGGAAGCUGCUUUAGUGGGGAGGGUGGACUUCAGGAUCUCUGGAUGUCAUUUCCAACCCCUACAAUUCUGUGCCCUGCUGAGCCUGCUUGGUGAUCAUGGGUGGAGCUGCAGCUUUGCAUGUGAGCUCUGUGCUGCUCCGUCUCUCCCAUUACCAGUCUUGACUGUGGGGUCUCUAACGGCAUAGAGCUGCAAGGAGUACAAUUACUGCCUCAUCCAUUUAAGUUGAUCAGCAGUUCAUCUGACUGGGAAUCAGUAAUAUGCUUAAGGAAUUGUCACAGCACAAAAAUAAAGGGGAAUUGAGGGAUCUGAACAUCCGACUCUUCUCUGGUGCUUCAGAAAUAUCCUGCAAAGCUCUUCCACUGACAUACCCUUUACACCAGAAGACUGAGCAUAGACUACAGCAAAAUAUACAUUGAGGAGGGGUGCAUUUUGACAAUGCAGCAAUGUCAGUUAUUGAGCACUACCAUAUCUUACAGCAGGAACAUUCCUAAUGUACUAAUUGUCAAAGUCAAAGCCUUGAAGGCACUGCUAACACUUUCUCAUCUGUUCUGCACUGCCAUUUCCCAAGUCCCUCUUGGGCAAUUCAUUCUGUGCAGACAGCUGUGAGCAGUAGCAGGCUGUGGGUUUAGGUAGUAUGGGGUUUUUUGUUUCUCAUUUCAUCCCCCAAUGCAUGUUGAUUUGAGGUUAGGCUUAACAGGUACUUGCUGGCACAGAACUUUUGCAUAUGGUUUUUUUUGUUUGCAUGCUAUUUUUUUCUGCCAAGAGUUUAAUAAUAUACACCAUUAGCAAAGUGGUGUUCAUAAGGCAGAAUUUGGAAUUAAACAUGGAUUAACUUUUAAGCUACCAGAUGACCACCAAGCAUUCCUUUACAGGAUCUGGCACUAUUGCUUUUUCUCUGCAAUAUGGAACGUAAACCAUUUCUGUUCCAACAGUGGUUCCACCAAGCAGUCUGGUUGUUUGGGUUUUUUUUCUAUGACGAGGUCUAUCAGCUUUGUUUCACAUGACAAUAGGACCACUGUUAGUCUGAGAAAAACAGUAUGAAAGUCAUCUACUGUGUGCUGCAGUCUGCACAUACAUUGGCUGUUAACAGGCCUGACCAAAUUCCAAUGUGAAAUCAGAUCUGUGUCCUCCUUGUACAUAAGUUGCUCUGAAAGUAAUGCCUCCUAUUUAUUUCCACGGAAGCUACAGCAGACAAAGAGCACAAUAACACUAUUUGAUAGAGCAAAUUCUCAGCCACAAAACACCAUUUUUUUUUUCAGCAUAGCCACCAUCAUUAACUAUACAUUUUCACCGGUGAUGAACAAGAGCCUGUGUGCCUCUCUUAUAAAAACCUGCACCAAUAGAGGGAACUCGUUGUUUCACGUCUGCUGUGAUAGCAUUGUUGCUGAAAUGCACCACUUUGCCAUGCUCACACUCACUGCUUGGCCUCCAUAAAUGCUCAACAAGGGUAAUGGGUGCCAUUUUUUCCCUAUCUUCUGUACAUGGAAUACCUUUAGUAAGCUGUGACCUGAAGGCAGCAGGUUAGUCCAGUGCAAGACAACAAGCUGAGCCUGUAACAAAGUUCCAGGUGUUCUGGAACAAAGAGUGAUUUUAAACUUUUGGUUAUUUAUUUCUUUAUUGCUAGAAACUCCUGGCAUGAUGUUACAGGUCUGUCUGUACAGGUGCUACAGGAACUACCAGUAUACAAGACCUGAUUUAGUCAGGACAAACAGCAUCUUUCAAGCAAGGAAAGUGUUAAGUUCUGCUGCAGAUUGUGGGCUUGUGUGAGUCUGGGAAGGCAGCAACAAGUUCUGCUGCCUCGUGGACACUCAGGCAGUUGUGGUGUUCCUGCAGCCAGUAGCUGAGCAUGCACUGCUGACACCACAGCUCCUGGCAGUGAGGCUGCCCUUUUAUUUCUGAUUCUUUGAGCAACUGGGAGUGCUGGGUAUACUGGCAAAGGAGUGAGGUGAGCACAGCCAUUAUUCCCUCCCUGCAAAGGGACAGGCUUUCCAGCAGCUGGAAAUUGUAUUGUAUUUACCCUGCCACCUGCUGAGAUUUUUCUGUUUUCUUAAUAGCCAAGGGUUGAGUUUUGCUGAGAUUCAGCCUGUUCCCAUCACUCUACCACUUUCCUCCCAAGACUGCAUUGAAACUGCUUUAUUUCCAUAUUGGUAGCAAGGUAGCAGUUCCUUCUGCUGUAGCGUGUGUGUGAUCUGUUAACACAUACACCAAAUAUGACAUUUUCCAGUGCUCUAGAUGUUUCAUUAUGAUGGAUUAUUGGUGCACCUAUUGAGGGUAACGCACUGUGCACCGGCCUGUCUCCAGGAGACUUCUCAUACACUGAUGGAAGGGCAAUGCUGCUGUUAUUACUGUGUUAUUUUUUAACACAUGUUUAUUUUGUCUUGCGUUGAGCUAGUGGCUUUGAUGAUAAAAAAAGUAUUUGCUUUGUCUUUGUCAUAUCUCAUUUGCCUUGUCUGCUCUGGAG